GGGGUCGUCUUGGCUUCGACAGAAGUAUGCGUCUCUAUUUUGCAGGCCGAGUGCCUACGUAAAAGGCAAACCAAAAUAACUGGAAACAGAAAUAAUUUAGCGGUUGCAUACGCCUAGUUGGCGGUAACCACUUCUUUACUACUUUGCUUAUGAGUGGUAAUAGAAGUUAAUAAAAUAAGCUAUAAUGUGUUUAAUUCCUAUAGAACACAUCGAAUUUGAUAGGAUAAUAAAUAUUCUUUUUGUUAAUUUCUAAAAUAUUUAUGAUUUCUAAAAAUUAACUAAGCCUGUAGAUAAAUAUUGUACAAUUACUCUUGGACAGGGGUUCAACUCCCCUCGACUCCACCA
rnacentral:tmRNA from 1 species